CCCCGCUUAUCGUACACGGCAUCAGCGUGGUGGGUCUGACGGUGGCAAACCGCGCGACGACCGAAGGGUUAAUGGAAUUCCGGUGUUUUGAGUCGCUGAAAAAAUGAUCACAAACUUGAAAAGUUUAUUAACAAUUGCAUGUAAUGAAUGUAAACGUGGAAAUUUCGAAUAGUUCUGCGGGGAAGAGCCACCCACCAUCGACGGUCCACCGAUGACAGAGAGGAUGUACCACGGUGUUGCCAUCUGAUGGUGACGGUUGUAUUCUUGUAACUUUAACUAGUAAGUUCAUAGUAGUUCUACUGUCAAUUACACAGUAAAGGAAAUUCAGAUACUUUACCGCGUAUACCACAGAAAAAAAUGUAUACCUACUUUGUCACGUCAUGUACCUGAUAUCCAAGCAACCAAAACAAACUCGCCAGCUGUCACUUGGCAUUUCAAAAUGGCGGAAUUGGAAAUCUGACACAUUGGACUACCUCCCUUCUAGAUACCUUGAUUGUAUGUUCUUUGUUCUACAAGAGAUAUGGGUCAAUUUCUGUCACGGUCGUCAUGUUUGAACGUGAGACAUAGUGAUGCGAUAUCUUUUCUAAUGUCCAUCAGAAUCGGUUUCAUCGGAAAUAAUUUAAAGAUUUCAAAAUUUUGCUCUAUUUGACUGGCAAAUUAAGCUCUUUUUGCUAAUCUCUCGUCUUCUAGCGGAGUGUUCGGAAUUAGGCGUGAAUCUAAGGCUCAUAAUCUCGGUAGUUUGUAAUAUCAAUUGCCUGUAUGGAUCUGUCGAGUAUAGUCACGGUUGCCAUAUGCUCAAAUCCAACAAUUUGCAAAAUCACUGUAUUUUCUAUUACCAAAUUAUUUUCAGGAAAACCAUGUUGAAAAGAGAGAUUCAGGUACAGUGGAUGCCUGACCGUCCAACCAAUUUGAUUGGAAACCAAUACUGUGGAAAUCUCCACCAGAUGUACUGGUUUACCAACUGCCCUUCUAGGCAACCCAAGGUGGACUUAUUCUGCCAAUUGGAAAAUGAAUGAAACAAGUAUUGUGGAAAUCUCCACCAGGAAACACUUGUUUCAGGAACCUUUAUUAGAGAAGAGAGUUCUUUCUUAAAUAGAAUAAACUCUCAUUAAAAAUCAAUGAGUAAAUUUAUUACCUUACGCUGGCAUGAUACAAGCGAUAAUGAAAAAGAAAAAUAAAAACUUGGCCGUAACUGCACUCGAACUACCUUCUACUCGGCCAAAUAUCGCCACGUGCUUUUUGUGCGCACUCUAAAAAAUGUUCUCUGAAAUUAUGAAAUUUAUAAUUCAACAAACCAAAACUGCUAUAUGGAGAGAUGUCAAUCCGUCAUUCGGUGAGUUUGGGUUUAUUACGCAAAUCAUAAGGUACAAUUUCAUCUAUUGCCGAUUGUUAUGGCCGAAAUGUUCAACUCAAUUUGCACAAUAAACCCAGCAAAUAUUUUUCUGUGCAAUUUGUUUGUGUUUUCUCUGUUCCUUGGUUCUACAAGAAAUAUGGGUCAAUUUCUGUCACGGUCGUCAUGUUUGAACGUGAGACAUCGUGAGGCGAUAUCUUUUCUAAUGUCCAUCAGAAUCGGUUUCAUCGGAAAUAGGUUUAUCGGUUUCAAAAUUUUGCUCUAUUUGAAUGGCAAAUUAAGCUAUUUUUGCUAGACUUUCGUCGUCUAGCGGACUGUUCGGUAUAAGGCAUGAAUCUCAGACUCAUAAUCUCGGUGGUUUGUAAUAUAAAUUGCUUUUAUGGAUCUGUCGAGUAUAGUCACGGUCACCAUAUGCUCAAAUCCAAAAAUUUGCAAAAUCACUGUAUUUUCUAUUACCAUGUUCUUCUGAAAACAGAACUGCCAUAUGGAGAGAUGUCCAUCCGUCAUUCAGGAAUUUGGGUUUAUUAUGCAAAUCAGAAGGUACAAUUUCAACUAUUGUCGAUCGUUAUGGCCGAAAUGUUCAACUCGAUUUGCACAAUACAACCAGCAAAUAUAUUUCUGUGCAAUCUGAUUGUGCGUUCUCUGUUCCUUGGUCAUACAAUAGAUAUGGGUCUAUUUCUUUCGCGGUCGUCAUAAUUGAACGUGAGACAUAGUGAGGUGAUAUCUUUUCUAUUGCCCAUCAGAAUCAGUUUCGUCGAAAAAGUUGUAUCGGUUUAAAAAUUUUGCUCUAUUUGAUUGUCAACUUUUGCUUGUUGUGCUAUUUUGCUGAUACAAUCAUACAUAAUUCGACUUCUAGCGGACUGUUCGGAAUUCGGCGUGAAUCUAAGACUCAUAAUCUCGGUGAUUUGUAAUAUCAAUUGCCUUUAUGGAUUUGUCGAGUAUAGUCACGGUUGCCAUAUGCUCAAAUCCAAGAAUUACCAAAAUCUCUGUAUUUUCUAUUACCAUGUUCUUCUGAAAACAGAACUGCCAUAUGGAGAGAUGUCCAUCCGUCAUUCGUUGAAUUUGGGUUUAUUAUGCAUAUCAGAAGGUACAAUUUCAACUAUUGCCGAUCGUUAUGGCCGAAAUUUUCUACUCGAUUUGUAUAAUAAACCCAGCAAAUAUUUUUCUGUGAACGUGACGUGACGUGAAAGAAGCUUUAUCGGCUUCAAAAUUAUACCAUUCAAAAUAAAACCAUGUAUUAUUGGUCUUCUAGCGGACGGUUCGGAAUUAGGCGUGAAUCUAAGACUCAUGAUCUGGGUGGUUUGACAUAUCAAUUGCCUGUAUGGUUCUGUCGAGUAUGGUCAUGGUCGCCUUAUGCUCAAAUCCAAGAAUUUGCAAAGUCACUGUAUUUUCUAUUACCAUGUUCUUCUAAAAACAAAACUGCCAUAUGGAUAGAUGUCAAUCCUUCAUUCGGUAAAUUUGGGUUUAUUAUGCAAAUCAGUAGGUACAAUUUCAACUAUUGCCGAUCGUUAUGGCCGAAAUGUUCUACUCGAUUUGCAUAAUAAACCCAGCAAAUAUUUUUCUGUGCAAUUUGAUUCUGUGUUCCCUGUCCCUUGGUUCUACAAGAGAUAUGGGUCAACUUCUGAACGUAAGACGUGAAAAAAGUUUUAUCGGUUUCAAAAUUAUACCAUUCAAAAUAAAACCAUGUAUUACUCGUCUUCUAGCGGACUGUUCGGAAUUAGGCGUGAAUCUAAGACUCAUAGUCUCGGUGGUUUGUGAUAUCAAUUGCCUGUAUGGAUCUAUCGUCGAGUAUAGUCACGGUCGCCAUAUGCUCAAAUCCAAGAGAAUUAGCGAAAUCACUGUAUUUUCUAUUACCAGUUUUUUUCUGUUAAAAAAAAACUGCCAUAUGGAGAGAUGUUCAUCCUUUUUCGGUUACAUGGGGUUUAUUAUGCAAAUCAGAUGGUACAACUUUAACUAUUGCCACUCGUUAUGGCCGAAAUGUUCUGCAUGAUUUGCGUAAUAAACAUCCCAAUAAUCGUAGUCGUUUCAGCAAAUCUCGGUGAUUUGUAAUAUCAAUUGCCUUUAUGGAUUUGUCGAGUAUAGUCACGGUUGCCAUAUGCUCAAAUCCAAGAAUUACCAAAAUCUUUGUAUUUUCUAUUACCAUGUUCUUCUGAAAACAGAACUGCCAUAUGGAGAGAUGUCCAUCCGUCAUUCGGUGAAUUUGGGUUUAUUAUGCAAAUCAGAAGGUGCAAUUUCAACUAUUGCCAAUCGUUAUGGCCGAAAUGUUCUACUCGAUUUGUAUAAUAAACCCAGCAAAUAUUUUUCUGUGCGUACUCUGUUCAUUGGUUCUACAGGAGAUAUGGGUCAAUUUGUUUCAUGGUCGUUUUUAUGUCAAAACUUGUUUCCGGCAUUUUGAAGAAGAAAAUUUUUAGUUUAUUGGUCAGAAUGGUUGAAGUUUCGUAAUGCAGUUGUCUUGAUAACUUAAUAAUAUGGUUUAACUCCCUAUUUUCGAGCAAUGUUGUUUCAUCUAUUUUUUGUUCUAUUUGCGAAUGCAAUCCAUUGAUUUCUUCUAAUUGCCUGACCAAUGUUUCUUUUGUGUUUUUAUUGUAAAUGGAUUUCUUAACGUUAUUGGCCAAAAGUUGUAACUUUCUGAAUGCAUCAGUUAUACUUAAAUUACUCAUUUAUUGUUACACUUGAAAUUUUACUUGCCAUUCUGUGUGGCAUACCAGUAGUAAUUUCGGUUUCACUUUUGUCCGUCAUCUCGUUCCGCACGACACAAAUUUUCUAUUGGCGCUUUAUUGUGCACUUCUUUUUUUUUUCACGGUUCAUUUCAGUGGAAUACGUGGAUUCCAGAUAGCUCUUCUUGGAUGAAAGCACACACGAAGUAUACAGUUAGUGCUAAUAAUGCAAGGCUUGUAAUGAAAAUCGCAUUUGUUUCACGCAUUUUGCUAAUGCGGGCGGUGAUGCCAGUCCCAAUGUUCACAGUUUCACGCGCACCUUUUUGUUUUUCGUUUUGUUCCGCGGGUCUCGUUCAAAUUACAUGCGGCACUAUAUCUGGUUUACUGCUAUCCACCGCUGUGCGCAUUCGUUCGUACUUUGUCACUACCUUGUACAAUUUGUAAAUAAACAGCGCUCCAAUCACAGCUAUGUAUGCCAACACUGUCAGUGCGUUUGCGAUUUGAAUAGAGUUUUUAGCUGACUCGCCGGCGUGCUGAGCUAGUUUAUUAUUUGCAUUAAGAAUAUUAAUGACAUGACUGUCGUCCACUAUGGGCUUUUCCUUUGAAUCACUAGAACCCAUUUUUCGUUUCGUUGCUCGCACUUUUGAUUUAUCACUUUAGGUACGAUCACUUAUUUUGGACUAACCAUGGAUAACCAUGUAUUAUUCGUCUUCUAGUGGAUUGUUCGGAAUUAGGCGUGAAUCUAAGACUCAUAAUCUGGGUGGUUUGACAUAUCAAUUGCUUAUAUGGAUUUGUCGAGUAUAGUCACGGUUGCCAUAUGCUCAAAUCCAAGAAUUACCAAAAUCACUGUAUUUUCUAUUACCAUGUUCUUCUGAAAACAGAACUGCCAUAUGGAGAGAUGUCCAUCCGUCAUUCGGUGAAUUUGGGUUUAUUAUGCAAAUCAGAAGGUGCAAUUUCAACUAUUGCCAAUCGUUAUGGCCGAAAUUUUCUACUCGAUUUGUAUAAUAAACCCAGCAAAUAUUUUUCUGUGAACGUGACGUGACGUGAAAGAAGCUUUAUCGGUUUCAAAAUUAUACCAUUCAAAAUAAAACCAUGUAUUAUUCGUCUUCUAGUGGAUUGUUCGGAAUUAGGCGUGAAUCUAAGACUCAUAAUCUCGGUGAUUUGUAAUAUCAAUUGCCUUUAUGGAUUUGUCGAGUAUAGUCACGGUUGCCAUAUGCUCAAAUCCAAGAAUUACCAAAAUCUCUGUAUUUUCUAUUACCAUGUUCUUCUGAAAACAGAACUGCCAUAUGGAGAGAUGUCCAUCCGUCAUUUGGUGAAUUUGGGUUUAUUAUGCAAAUCAGAAGGUGCAAUUUCAACUAUUGCCAAUCGUUAUGGCCGAAAUGUUCUACUCGAUUUGUAUAAUAAACCCAGCAAAUAUUUUUCUGUGCGUACUCUGUUCCUUGGUUCUACAGGAGAUAUGAGUCAAUUUGUUUCACGGUCGUCAUGUUUUAACGUAAGACAUAAUGAGGCGAUACCUUUUCUAAUGUCCAUCAGAAGAGCAUUUUUCGAGGCUUCGACAUAACGGAUUUUCCAUCCGGCAAUACCAAAUGAAUUGUUCCAAGUUUAAUGGGCUUUCAUUGCAUAUAUUUUCUAUUUGUGUAAUAAGCCUCACGGGAAUCCUCACGUAAUUCUGUACCCAGUCACGGUCGCCAUAUGUCAAUCGCUGCAAUUUCUCAAUAUUUUCUAUUUCCUAUUCGUUCCUAAGUUAAGAUGUACUCGGACAGUCAAUAGACGCAGAAAUACAUAGGCUCCAAGUUCAGGGAGUGCGAGCUUGUUAUCAAAAUGAUUUGAAUGAUUUUGAGAUGUUUUGUCUGUUUAGUCGUUUAGUGUUUGUUUUUGCGUUCAAUUCUUGUGAUUUUUUGUUUGUUUUAGUAUUGUUGUAUUGUAAUUGUCUUUAAAGGAUCGUCCCUAUAAUCUUCAUUGAUGUUUGAUGAUUUCUUGUGAUAUCUCGCCCCAAACCAAAACAAUAUAAAAUUUUCUUACAAAAUUCAAAAUAAUUGGACCCCUUAACAUAUGGCAGUAUAAAUUGUAUUUCUAUUAAAGACCUAACGAUUAUAUAUAUGCAAGAAAAAAAACCCUAAGAUAAAUUACGAUUCAAAUAUCGCCAUCAAAUUUUAUCCGUGUCUUGAAAUCAAAUUCUAGUUCUGUUCUUUACGCAAUCUUUCAACGUGCAAAUCAACAGUUCGUUGAUUUAUUCAAAUUGGUGCUUUUGAAAUCGCGAGUUGGGGCACUACCCAACCAUGAAUCAUCCAUCUUUUGAUGAUCCUAGUAUUGAUUAAGUCGACAAAACAUGCUGCCAUCUAAAAGUAUCACUUCGCUUAGUAAAUUCAAAGAUAAGAAAAUGAUAAAGAAUCAAAUAUUUGGAUGUUACUGUACAUUGAACACUAAUUUUGCAAGUAUGUAUUAAAUUUGUAUAGGACUAAUUUCAGGGUUGUAAACCAUGAUACAAUAGUUAACCAAUGGUAUAAAUACCGGUGGCCAAUCGAUCCAGUUUUCUUCAUAAAAAAAUAUUUGGCUCUUCAGAUUUAUACUCUUGAAAAAUUGUGGUUUAGGUUCACCUUUUACUUGAGAUCCUUAACAAUUAUUAUAGUUUAGUGUAGGUUCAACUUUUGGAUUUUUAUCAGGAAAUAAAUAUAUUCUGUCAGCUGCACAACUAGUACGAAUUGUUGUUUGUUAAAACUGAUUCAAUGAUAAACAUUGACCUCCAACCACAAUGAAUCAUUAAUGUAACUAGGGUUGUUCUUUGCCAUCAAAAUAAUUGUUUUAGAUACCACUUUACUAGUUUAUAGGUAGAAUAAAUAAUGAUUACUAUUAAUAUACUUUUCCAAUUAUUAUAAAUAUAACACUUUAGGCCCUGUUUUCAUGUACAACAUAAAAACAAUUAUAUCUAGUAUAAAUUGAAAAAAAGCUGAAAGUAAUUGUUAGUCAAUUCCAAUGAGUUUGUCAAAGUAUUUUUUUACUACAGAAAAAUAGACGUAACACUUACCUAUAAACAGUAUACGAUAGAAACGAUCGUACAAUCAACAUAUUUUUCUCUCUAGUAUCUAAGUUAAUUAGUAUCCUUCGCCAAAAAAGUAUACUACAGAAAGUAAGUUAAUCUUCUUGAAUGUUUUUCUGUGAUUUUACGUUGAAUAACAUUAAGUUAGAAUGGAGAAAUAUGCAAAAUUUGCAAACAACGCUUAAUAAGAUCGAAGAAACCAAGCAACAAUUAACUGUUUACUACAUCGGAUAAUAAUGUAUACAUAGAUUAAUCAACAAAAACCGUUUUCAUUCUAAAUGUAUGAUUUUAAACAGACAAGUUUGAUGAAAAAUAUCAGGUUUGUGGAUUUUUUUGGCGAUAAAGCGUUCACGUUUAACUUGAGUUCGAGUAUUCGUUUCGAAAAAAAUACCGUUUUUAGAUAAUCUUUUCCCAUAGUGGAUGUCAAAAUUGGAACAGCGGCGAACCGUCAUUUCCAUACAAAUCCGCGUUCCAAUCGAGCAUGAGAUCUGUCAAAACUGGAACAGGCACUCUACCCUUUCAUAUUGCCAGAAAUUUAUUCUAAAAAUCAUAGUUCGAAUAUUAUGUAACAAAACAGCUGAGUGCACUAGAACAGUCCAGCUUAUUAUUUUUGCAUUAAUUAUAUGACGAUAUGGUUAUACAAUAAUUGUUAUAAAAUGGUCAAUUUAUGUUUCCAAAAUAAUAUAAAAAUAUAAAUGGCAUUAGUUUUAAUCAAUGAUGCUGUGCUGAGUAACAUCCCCGCAACUUCUCACAUCUCUACAAGGAAGCAGUACUCUCGAAGAAGAACAGCGAAGUGAAGCAGAAGGAGCUUGGCGAGAAAUCAAGUUACAGUGACCAUGCAGAAACUUGUUACGGUGGAAGAUUAGUAAUGAGCCUAACCUUCGUGUCACAUUAUAUGACUACGAUCAUGGAGAUCAUAAACUACAGCAACAUUCAAUUUGGACAAAUCGACGAGAUAUCAGAAAUCAACGCCACAUUCAGAAAGCCCAGUCAGAUAAUUCGGGAAAGCAGGGAUUGCAGAAAUCGUUGUCAUUCGAUAUCGAAGAAGGAUCAAAUCAGGUGGAUAAACAGAACCCUUUACCUUUGAGCAUCGAUUAAUCAAAAUGGUCACUAUGGAUAGCACCACUUUGGGCUUGUAUGUUUUACAGAAAACAGUUAUACUUACAGUUACAACAUUGUUGCAACCCAUGCACGGUAGCGCUGCUUGUUGGUUGCGGUGAGUGCCAAAUGAGUUUCUUACAAAGAUUCAUAGUCCUGCCAGUCCAAAAAGACCACAGAGAGCGAAAACCUGAACAGAGUUGUAAAAAAUUCCUGAAACAGGAUUAAAAGACUUCUCCCACGUAAGGGGCCUGAGAGAAUAAUGGAAGCUAGAAAAUAGCUCAAGUUCAUCUGGCGAAGAUGAAUAUGCACUCACUCAAAUAGGUAACUUAUUUGAAUAUGUCGUCAUCAUGAAAUUUAACAUACUUGGCAUAUGACUGAACAUAGGCGCCAGUACCGUACUUCCGCUUAUCAACGUAUGAUGCUACUGCUCACUUGUCCAAUACGGUGAUUGUACAAUAGUGCGAAUGGAAAAGAUAACAAUUCCUUAUCGAUGUCCUUACAAUACUUACGGCUGCUUUGUCCUUACGCUGCUUUCAGGCUGCUGAAGCCUUAAUUUGCCAGGAACUGAUUCAUCCUAAUUAUAAGCUCGUUAUGCCAAACCACGGAGGAAAACCUGCAAAGGUCAUCUGCACACGUUUCUGUAGUUCAAAUUUGCCAAAUAAAACUGAAUUAUUCGAUUUCUGGCGCCGUUACGCAUCUGCUCCGAUUGCUACUCCCGAUCCUGAUCCCUUCAACCGUUCCGGGCGACAUCGUGUUUCUCUUUUGGAUUUUGAGAAGCUAAAUUAGUUCAAUAAAUAUAUUUUGCGCAAGUUUGUUGUA